rnacentral:rRNA from 1 species
CAGCAGCCACGGUAAUACGGAGGGUGCAAGCGUUAAUCGGAAUUACUGGGCGUAAAGCGCACGCAGGCGGUUUGUUAAGUCAGUUGUGAAAUCCCCGAGCUUAACUUGGGAACUGCAUUUGAAACUGGCAAGCUAGAGUCUUGUAGAGGGGGGUAGAAUUCCAGGUGUAGCGGUGAAAUGCGUAGAGAUCUGGAGGAAUACCGGUGGCGAAGGCGGCCCCCUGGACAAAGACUGACGCUCAGGUGCGAAAGCGUGGGGAGCAAACAGGAUUAGAUACCCGUGUAGUCCCUGUCUCUUAUAU